AUGUGGCAGCCAAAAUUGUUUUUUUCAUGCCUGCAGAGGCCUUGUGACUGGAGCUGGGACGAAUUCUCCUCUGUCAACUAUUCAGACCAUGACAAAGUAUUGAUUUUCUGCUCAGAAACAUGCCUAUCUGCACCUGUUCCACACUAUCAGAAGACAAUGCAAGAUGAGACUCAUUGUGUUUCAUGCAGUAACGGCGCUCUUGAGCAUCUCCUGUCUGAACAUGCAAGCCUCCGUCACUAUCAAUAACAAUAAAUAGCUCUUUCUGUGGAAACCUUAAGGGAUGGGUGAGAUAAGGAGCCACAUUAGCCGUUCUCAUAUUGUACGCACCAUUCAACCUGCAUUUUCCCAUAGAACUGGAGGGCUUCAUUUACAAAGGGCCUAAAAUGGAGCUACAAUUUCAGCAGCCGUUUCUUCAGUCUUCAGUGUCACAUGAUCCUUCAGAAAGCAUUCUAAUAUGCUGAUUUGAUGCAUAAGAAACAUUUAAUGUUAUCAAUGUUAAAAACAGUUGUGCUGCACAUUUUCAUGCUGGGUUGCCAAUGCCAUUAGACGUCAAAUGUAAAAUCUGCAUCCUGAAGCAAAACCAGUUGAUGGCCGCUGAUGUAAUGUCAGCUAUAUGCUCAUCCAGUUAUGCCAAAAAACUCCCAUCACAUAUGCAUACACACAUAUCAUAGGCAGCCAUCCGAAAACAGGUUAAAUGACUAAAAUUCAGAACUGAUUGAUUGCCUGUCUCCUCUAUGACGUGAAUGAAGGCAAAAGCAUAAAUAAGAGAGACGGGCAGACGUGAAGAGGCAGGCUGCUUGUGCUCCAAGGCCUGCGAACACUUCACACACACUCACGCAAGAGAAAUGAAUCUCAUUUGCUGAAAAGAGGCUGAUAUUAAUACCAAGGGGGCACAGAAAUAUGCAGGGAAAUGAGUGUUUUAGCAGGGUGCUCCUUUGAACACGGCAAGGCUUUUUUGUCUCUCUUGAAAUGAAUUUGAAGGAAACGUAUGAGUAUUUUUAGGUCAAAGCAUUUCCGCAGAGACCUGCGUUUCUUGUUUUAUUAAUUCUAAUGGUACGGUCCUUUGGAUUUUAAUGAUAUGUUCUGUUACUUUUUAAGCAAUUUUUUUUUUAUAUACUUAAUGAGAAUACAUUAGGUUACUUGCAUAGCGGAACAUGUUUGUUGUUGCCAUAUGAGAACAAGCAAAUAUGCAAUUAAAUUCACAGCGUGUCUGUUGUGAAUUUAGAAACACGGUAACAUCUGAAGAACAUCUUGAGCUCUAAAGAGGGCCAAUAAUCAACAUGUUUGAGGGCAAGGGGCCUGUAAACAUAUUUAGACAAGGAUUGACAUUGCUUUUGCCAUAUUUUAGUCCCAGAAUAACCUUGUUUCUUCACCAGUGAUCUCAUUAUACUGUAGCUUAGCUAAGUGUCGGUCCACAAACAGGUUUAGCACACUUAUUAAACAAGAAAUAUCCCACCAUAUCCUCACAAGAUGAAAGCAAGCUGAUUUUACCCUGUCUGACAUAUACUUUCUUCAUUUGUACUGGGUUCAUCUGAGCUCUUCUUUGACCACUUCAGAACAAAAUUGCCUGCAGUCUCUGAUCAGUUGUUGCACAUGCAUUAUAGCAUCACUGUGCACAAUCUAUCACUGACAUCAGUCUCUGCACUGGGCUUUUUGUUUGUUUGUUUGUUUGAUGAAAGCAUAAAAAGGAUGAAAAAAGAGAUUCAACCGAGACGUGAAAAAUUGACUAGCCUGUCUACAGGGCCGUCUGACCUUGCUUUGUGAUUUUAGAGGCAUCAGUGUGCAUCAGCGGAGUUAAAUUUAGUCAUACUUGAGGCUGCAAGUCAAAAUAAACAGAGGGUCUGCAGCAAUACGGUGAAUAGUUCACAUUCUCUCAAAGAAAUGAUUGAAAUAACAGAACUGUGCCAAGAGAAUCAAAAAAGACCUCUUUCAUACUGAAACAAAUGGCAUAGAAAGGUAAAUAUUGAUCGCAUUGUAGUUUUGGGCAGAGAUGGAGUAAGAUAUGUUAGAUAUGCAGUACUGGUAUUCUUACAAAUAUUCUCCAUAGUCAAUUGUCAGAAGUGCUUGUGAAGGCAAACAUCAUUAUUGUUGUUUCUUUUAUAUUUAUCAUAACUGCUGCACCUUAAGACACAUUUAUUAUUUUAAAAAAAAUUGUGGGUGAGUGCAGCGAAAUGGAAAGGAGCGCAGGUUCUUGUGACAGCUUUUUAAAAGCUGAACUUCUUGAAUGCGCGAGACAUGACGGAACGGGGCAAAGACUUGUCGAAAUAGAACACAAAAACACCUUCUUUGGGAAACAACCCUUACAAGUCUUUACAGUCAUAAAUCUAAGAAAACCUCUCAGUCCAUAGUGAGUCUGUUGUCAAAUAACAUCACAUACCACCACACCAUCCAAACCAGCUCGUCUGCUGCAGCGAGAUGUGUUUCAUCACUGCCAUAUCACUCGAACCACAAUGAUGCCCAAUGAGAGCUGACAGUGUAGCCUGCCAAUAGGGGGGCGGGUGCCUGUGGAGGAUGUAGCCAGCUUGCCAGAAUCUGCCCCUUUUCUCACCCCGCUGCAUCCUCUCAUUUGUGCAAUGGAUGCUUUUACCGGUGGAACAGAGUGACUUGAGAGCAGCUAGACAUUUAUAAUGCCCACAUUGCAUGUCUGGGGGCCUCAGAGGCAGAGGAUGUGGGCAGAACUGUACGGGUGCGUGCUCACCACCUGACCCCUAUUUUCACAGAGCCAUGCAGUGAUAGACUGCCUAGCACUGCCUGCUGGGCUGCGUCUGCUUCCAUUUCAGUUCAAACAAAGGCUUCUUCUGUGUAUAUAUGUAUGUGUAUAUAUAUCCACAUAAUUUCAGGAUACUCUAUGCAUCUAUAUAAAUAGUCAAAUUGAUUUGCAUUCUGCUCAUUUUCAAAAGACAAUAAAAAAUAUUGAUCACAAAAAUAUUGAUGACUUUUUCAUUCAUUGAUUUAAAAGCCAUUUUAUUUGAGAAGAAUGGAUUGUGCUGUAAACUUGAAAUUAUUGUUGCUGUGCUUCCACCUGUUGGCCAUACAUGGUAACUGUAAAGAUAUUUUAGUCCAGGA
rnacentral:lncRNA from 1 species